AAAUAUUUCCAAAAUGUACCAAAAUUUAGCAUAGUAUAGCCUAAAACAAAGCUAUAACAAGCUAUAAACCAACAUAAUUAACCAUACCCAUGAUAUAUCACUAAUUUUCAAAAUGGCUAGAUGAAAGACGAUUUUUCUGGCAAGUUUUAUUACAUCACUUUUGCUAAAACAACAAAACAAAUUUCACCAUUGAAAUCAGCAAUUCUCUUUGAAAUGGUGUAUAAAUAAUGGUGGUAGUGUUGAUGUAUACCCAGUGCAACCUCGUUGUCGGACCCCUUUAUGUUGGACUACAGGUGAUUAGCAGCUGCUGAGGUUUACGAAACUUCUUCCCUCAGACUUCUUGGCUGCCGAUUCUCCGAUAAUAAUGUUGUAGCUUUACCUUUCACUUAGCUUUCAUCCUGACUGAUUAUUGAGGUCUCCAUUUUUAGUUACUCCGUCAUUUUUAUUUCAUGAUGAUUUCUCCACAGGCAUUUAAAAGUUAGGUUAAAAAUAAUCGUGGAGUAAGUAAAAAUGUACAAUUUCUUCAGUCCACACUUUUCAAGGAGUAAAACAAGAGAAUAAAACAAAAUGCGAUUUUAUUAAAACUAAUUAGAAUAGCCUACAUUGUAAAACGCAUCUGUGGAUUGUGCUAAAGGGCCUAUGUCUAGAUAAGUUACAAAUAACAAGUGUAUGACAAACACAGUUCCAUUUUUGGCAUAGUAAAUGCUUAAGUUAAUUUUAUAAAAUUGGUCUUUGAGAUGUUUUUUACUUUUUCAUUUUCUUUUAGAUGUUGUCUCUUUUUUAGAUAAUAAAGUACCCUGCAAUUGUACUGCAGACAUGCUUCUUUAUCAUUACACCAUAGGAAUAUGGUUUUGGAUUUCAAACUCUUAAGUACGAAUUAAGAUUGAAGAUUUGAUUAAAGUAGUUUUAUUUAACUUUUUAUAGUAUUUGCAAAAACAAAGCUAUUUAAAUAGAUCAGCAGACUUAUUGAUUGAAUUUUCAACAGUUGAAAGCUAAAUGAGACGUUACAAGAGCCAAUGUAAGCCAAUUUCUUAGGAUUAAAUUCUAGAAUAGUUUAGUUUUCCUAUGUUAGUUACGUGUCUGGUUAUAUUCUUGAUGUAGUGAGUUGUCUAAAAACAUUUGUAACUAAUUAGUAAUUAAGUUGCUUGCUCUUAAGUGACUUUCUAAAUUAAGACAAUCUUUCAAUCCACUACUUAAAAUGUACUACUCAUCAUUAGUAAAGGUUAUGUUAGUAU